UAUAUACUCCCUCCAUCCCAAAAUUCUUGUCUUAGGUUUGUCUAGAUAUGAAUGUAUAUAGUCACACUUUAGUAUUUAGAUACAUCCAUUUCUAAACAAACCCAAGAAAAGAAUUUUGAGAUGGAGGGAGUAUGUA
rfam:Hordeum vulgare subsp. vulgare, WGS project CAJW01000000 data, contig: morex_contig_2460655